GUUAAAUUAUGUAACAGAACGUGGCAACAACAGUAAUUUAUGAGAAUACAUACUUUACACAGAGCAGGUAGGCCUAGACAGAGCAGGUAGGCCUAGACAGAGCAGGUAGGUCUAGACAGAGCAGGUAGGCCUAGACAGAGCAGGUAGGCCUAGACAGAGCAGGUAGGCCUAGACAGAGCUGGUAGGUCUAGACGGAGCAGGUAGGUCUAGACGGAGCAGGUAGGCCUAGACAGAGCAGAUAGGCCUAGACAGAGCAGGUAGGUCUAGACAGAGCAGGUAGGCCUAGACAGAGCAGGUAGGUCUAGACAGAGCAGGUAGGCCUAGACAGAGCAGGUAGGCCUAGACAGAGCAGGUGACUGCAGUUAGGUCUAGACAGAGCAGGUAGGCCUAGACAGAGCAGGUAGGCCUAGACAGAGCGGGUAGGCCUAAAUAGAGCAAGUAGGCCUAGACAGAGCAGGUAGGUCUAGACAGAGCAGGUAGGCCUAGACAGAGCAGGUAGGCCUAGACAGAGCAGGUAGAACUAGACAGAGCAGGUAGGCCUAGACAGCUCAAGUAGGUCUAGACAGAGCAGGUAGGCCUAGACAGAGCAGGUAGGUCUAGACAGAGCAGGUAGGCCUAGACAGAGCAGGUAGGCCUAGACAGAGCAGGUAGGCCUAGACAGCUCAAGUAGGCCUAGACAGAGCAGGUAGGCCUAGACAGAGCAGGCAGGUCUAGACAGAGCAG
rnacentral:lncRNA from 1 species